rnacentral:rRNA from 1 species
UACGGAGGGAGCUAGCGUUGUUCGGAAUUACUGGGCGUAAAGCGCACGUAGGCGGCUUUGUAAGUUAGAGGUGAAAGCCCGGGGCUCAACUCCGGAACUGCCUUUAAGACUGCAUCGCUUGAAUCCAGGAGAGGUGAGUGGAAUUCCGAGUGUAGAGGUGAAAUUCGUAGAUAUUCGGAAGAACACCAGGGGCGAAGGCGGCUCACUGGACUGGUAUGGACGCGGAGGUGGGAAAGCGGGGGAGCAAACAGG